rnacentral:rRNA from 1 species
GAUGAACGCUGGCGGCGUGCCUAAUACAUGCGAGUCGAGCGAACAGAUGAGGAGCUUGCUCCUCUGACGUUAGCGGCGGACGGGUGAGUAACACGUGGAUAACCUACCUAUAAGACUGGGAUAACUUCGGGAAACCGGAGCUAAUACCGGAUAAUAUAUUGAACUGCAUGGUUCAAUAGUGAAAGACGGUUUUGCUGUCACUUAUAGAUGGAUCCGCGCCGCAUUAGCUAGUUGGUAAGGUAACGGCUUACCAAGGCAACGAUGCGUAGCCGACCUGAGAGGGUGAUCGGCCACACUGGAACUGAGACACGGUCCAGACUCCUACGGGAGGCAGCAGUAGGGAAUCUUCCGCAAUGGGCGAAAGCCUGACGGAGCAACGCCGCGUGAGUGAUGAAGGUCUUCGGAUCGUAAAACUCUGUUAUUAGGGAAGAACAAAUGUGUAAGUAACUAUGCACGUCUUGACGGUACCUAAUCAGAAAGCCACGGCUAACUACGUG